CUUUGUCGUGACUCCAACCAAAUCUCAAGAGACAAAAUGUUUUCAAAGCCUUGAGUGCAAACUCUCUGUCCUUUCUGUGUGGAUUUUUCAGGCGCAGUCAGGUAAGGACAGCGUCUCUCGGAGGAAGGCUCCAGGCGUCCCCGUAAACAAGGACACACCAGUCAGGAAAUUUGGUAAGAGUGGGAGAAAAAGAAAAAAAGAGAGCUUGAGCAAGCAAGGAGCGAGAGAGAAAGUCAAUUCAAACUUUUACUUCAAGCAUAACUCCUUAUUGGCUGUGUUUUUUUUAUUUUGUUGUGUGUGUUUGUUACAGCUCCCGUGGUGACGUCUCCUCCACUCCCUGCUCCAGAGGUGGUGAAGUACUCGCCUCAGUCCAAAGAUCACGUCGUCCCCAGCCAAGAUAUUCAAGGUUUCUGAAUUUAAAAGCUGAUUCAUUAAACAAGGUUUAUACAACAUGAUGAUCAUGUAGCCGAUACAGUUACUUAUUUUUUGACUGAGACACAGUGGUUGGUAUUCGGAUUUAAAACAAUGGAAAAUAUAAUGUGUAAUCUACGUACUUACUUACAUACAUGGUUUUUAUAAUUUUUUUAAAGAAAUCAUCAAAAGGUACAACUCCCCACCUCCACCACCAGACCAGAUGCCAUCUGGCAAAAGGAGACCAGAGGGGAAGUUUAAGAAGAAGCAAACUCCUCGUGAUGAAGCUUUACAGAUCCUGAAACCCCAGAUGGACCACCCUCCUGCUCCCCAGGUACACACACACACACACACACACACAUACACAGUCAUAGAGUGCAUACAGUGUUGUGGACAUGCACAUCAGACAUUAAUAGAAAAGGUUUUUGUGUCCUUCCAGCCCAAACGUCCUGUUCCCCCCUCACCAUCUGCACCUGCAAUGAAAGAGACAGGAUUUAAACCCACCAAGGGUGCAAAGACGAGACCACCUGAUCGUCCUCUUCCCAUACCUCCUCCAGGUACUCACACUCACUCUAACUAUAUACCCAUCCACAUAUUACAGUACAUAUGUUGUUUGCAUGAGACAUAUCCCAAAGCUGUAAAACUACAUUGUCUAAAUUUAAAGU
rnacentral:lncRNA from 15 species